UUACUUCCCUCCCUCCCGUAUCGGCCUCCCAUUGUCGGCCGGCCCCGCCUGCCUGCCCGGCCUCGUGUCGCCCGGUUACCUCGCAAAUCCCCAUGCCCGGGAAACUUGCCCCGCCGUGCCCCGCUGACCCUGCCACCUCGACGGACGGGGCCGCCCCGCUCGGGGGCAGGGGUGGGUGGCGGAACGAGUGGGCCGUGUAGGAGCCCCGGUGGCCCCGGCCAACCUACCUUAACCCCUCGUCAACCGGAUAACCCUCCCCGAACCAGGCCGGGUACCUAUCGCCCAAACCACCGUCUCCGGACGGGGGCGGCGGUUCAAAGACUCCGCGCGGCGGGUGGGGCCCCGCCCCCACCAGGCUGCCGCGAGCGCCCGGCCCAGCCAAUGCGCGUGCCUUCCCGGAA